AGAAGUUGAGCAGCAUGGUGACUCCAACAAGCAAGCAUCUGUUGUUGUGCAGAAGCCCCUGCUGUUCAACUUACACAGUCCUUUGUUUGAAGAACUUACAUUCUCUUUUCAUUCAAAGGACUUUUUUGGUGCUUAUUUGUGAACUGCUGGUGACAAGAGAGGCAUUUAAGGGGAGAAACCUGAGAAGAUUCAAAGAAAGGGGUGUGAUGGACAUUCUACUGUGGGGUUAGCUCGUUAUCACACAGCUUCCACUCAUCUCUGUCUCUCCAAAAAGGACUGGUUUGCUAUGUUUUUUUUUUUUAUUUUAUUUUAAAUAACACUUUGGGACUCUUGAGUGAGGCCUCAGGCUCACAUGGACUCAAUUAGACUUUUUUUCUUUUUUCUUCUUUUUGUAUUUGUGUGUGUUGGCUGUGUUGUGGAACUGAGGUUGUGGGUUAAAUGGAUGUUUCUUAUGUCUGUGUAGAGGUGGGGUUGUCUGAUUUACAUUGCAUGUUCACCAUUUCAUCAUUUCAAUAACACCAGAAAAAGGUACACCA